rnacentral:rRNA from 1 species
UACGGAGGGGGCAAGCGUUGUUCGGAUUUACUGGGCGUAAAGGGUGCGUAGGCCGCACGGUAAGUCAGAGGUGAAAUCCCGGAGCUCAACUUCGGAAUUGCCUCCGAUACUGCCGUGCUUGAGGACUGGAGAGGAGAUUGGAAUUCACAGUGGAGCAGUGAAAUGCGUAGAUAUUGUGAGGAACACUAGUGGCGAAGGCGAAUCUCUGGACAGUUCCUGACGCUGAGGCACGAAGGCCAGGGGAGCAAACGGG